UGAGCGUCGUCUGCGAAGAAAACAUGGCGGAGCUCUACGCAUUUUUCCAGGAUGUUGGCGUGCGUGAGGACGAAAUAACACGCGUAUUUCGUUCUAACAGUGACGCAUUCACUGUCCUGUCAGACGAUGCGUUCAUCAGGCACUUCCGGCUUUCUAAAGAAGCAGUUCGAGAAGUCUGCGAUGCCGUCAGGGAAGACUUGAAACGACAUUUGCGAUGCUAAUCGCAGGAUCCUCUACCUAAAUGCACGCUAUCCGGGAAGCUCUCACGACGCUGCUGUCUGGUCAGUGUGAAGGAUACGGCAGAGGGCUUCAAUCCUGUUCGACGAUGGGGAGUGGCUGCUGGGAGAUCUUGGCUACCCCCUUGAGCCAUGGUUGAUGACUCCAUUUCUGGCUCCGGCAUCAGACAAAGAAGUGGCAUAUAAUGCAGCUCACAGCAGGACUAGGGUUCGAAUCGAGCAAUGCUUCGGAGUGCUGAAAAUGCGAUUCCGGUGCCUGCAAAGAAAAAAAAACCCUUCACUUUGCAUGAGACAGAGCCUGCAAUAUCAUAACUGCUUGUGCUGUGCUACACAAUAUGUGCAUUUCAUACAAUUUGCCUGAGCCUGCAGAGAAGCCUGAACCAACAGCCACAGAACAUGACAGUGCCACAGUUACAGUGACUCAGGACGAACCCAGCGAGGAGGGUCAACCCAUCAGUCAAAGUGACUCCUUGAUAUCACAGGCAAUGCGCGUACGUGAGACAAUUGUCAACAGGUACUUCUAGCAGCCUGUCAAGAAAUGUAUAUACUACAUCAUAACAACUGCUUUGUCGUUUGUGCAUCACCUUUUAUUGUUCGUGUGUGCUUUGCGAGCAGUAAGCCUUUUUUCACACUUUAGAGCCUCUCCAUUUUCGUUUGAUUUUGCAGCUGUGGUUGUCACAAAAAGUUAGAAAGCCUUCUGUUUGUUUCGCUAACAUGCCGUUCAACUGUGUUCAUGCUAGGG